AAAUCAUCUAUGAUAAGAAGAGUAAAUACAAUGAUUGAUUUAAAGAGAGUUAGGGAUGGUGGAAACCUAAUAUGAAGCGUGUAUUGAAGAACAUCUUUGAGAUGCUAACCGAAAUUGUUUAAAGUAGACUUAGCCGGUAGUCAACCGUUAAAAUGACUAGGUAUUGAUUUUUCAGUACCAAUAUAAGAGAGCGAAAGCUAAUUAGGGUGGCACCGCGUAGAAUAUACGUUCCUAUA
rnacentral:ncRNA from 1 species